GACAGAGGGGGCAAGCGUUGCUCGGAAUUACUGGGCGUAAAGGGCGCGUAGGCGGGAUGGCAAGUCGGUCGUGAAAUCCCUCGGCUCAACCGAGGAACGUCGAUCGAUACCGCUGUUCUUGAGGAUUGCAGAGGAGACUGGAAUUCCCGGUGUAGCGGUGAAAUGUGUAGAGAUCGGGAGGAACACCGGUGGCGAAGGCGGGUCUCUGGGCAAUUCCUGACGCUGAGGCGCGAAAGCGUGGGGAGCAAACGGG
rnacentral:rRNA from 1 species